AAGCCUCAGAAAGCCAGUCAAAAUUUGACAUCAAAGCAAAAUUCAGCCGGUAAUUCCAGAUCAGACAAAAUCAUCAUUGGCUUCAUCCAAACACUAAGAAGGAAAAAACGAAAAGAAAAGCCAAACAUAGUACCCGGACUGAAAAAUGUAAUCGCAAAAAAUCGGCUCCGUAGAUCGACGGCAUAAACCUGAUCCACAGGUUCCUAUCAGCAUGCGAAACAUAGAUUGAUAUCGGUCCAAUCAUAGCAUCGCCGGUCAUCGCCAAUGGCUACCGGCGACGUGGCAUCGGACCUCCCAAGUUCCCAACAACACUAGAAGAAAGAAAGAAAAAAGAAGAAAAGAAAAGGAAAAAAAAAAACCAUUCGUUAGAACAAAACAAAACCCUCAGAGUCCCGUUUCAAAUCACACACAACGGCGCCCCAUAACCGCGUUAUCCCGACCAAUGAACGAGCACCUCAGACACUGAGUCAGAGGGACGCAAUGGUGGAUGGGAAGGUUGGGUUAUGGGCGACGCCGCUGCUGUUUGGAGUGUCAUACGGCACUUCCUAUCAUGGGCUUUCUUCCUCAUUGGGAUUUUGAUACAUCAAAACCAUAAACCCUACCCUAAUUUCCCUAUCAUAGCUUCCAAAUUGUAAACCCUAGCCCUAACCCUAACUGGACUGAUCUGAUCAGCUGAUGACGCUGUGGAGGAGGCCAACGAGGGGUUUAUAUAGAGAAACGACGCGUAGCCCUAAUU
rnacentral:lncRNA from 1 species